AACAGGAAUGUACUAAGGCAAACGUUUCUCAUUAUUCAGCCUCAAUAAUGGUGACAAUGGAGCAAAAAAAAAAAAAAAAGAUCAAAUCUAUCUUUUGAUUCUACAAGUCAUAAUUCAUUUUACAGGACAGUUUGCAUUAUGGAUGUUGAGCUUUGAUGAAAGCUUUCCGACUCAAGUUCAUUCCCGGUGAUUGGUUGAGGCACAGUCCCAGAUCGUGAAGAUGCAACAAUCCAAGCUGUUGCCCUGCUUUCCAAGUCUCCCCUUUAGAUGUACAUUUAUUACUGCAAAAACCGUACGACAUUUUUAAAACCUCUUGCUAAACUCUGUGAAAAUCUCGAGGAACUACUCUUCUCCACUGUCAUCUCAGAGCUGGGCAAUUUAUGAUUUGGGAACCACCCUCUUAACAAGUGAGUUAACUUGAACUCAUAUUGCAUAACGACACCUUUAUCAGACUCAACAUUGUCAUCUUGCUUGUUCUCUAUGAUCUCUAUAUAAUGACUUUGAACAUUCUCUUGUCUGUUCCUGUGUCCAUUUAAAUCACAAAAUGUUUUAAACAGGACCAAAUUAGUAACAACAUGCAUCGAUGAUGAAUAGCUUCAAUAAACGUGUGAAAGCUAGGAAAUCUGUAAUCUUC
rnacentral:lncRNA from 1 species